rnacentral:rRNA from 1 species
GGUGAACCUGCGGAGGGAUCAUUACCGAGUUUACAACUCCCAAACCCCUGUGAACAUACCACUUGUUGCCUCGGCGGAUCAGCCCGCUCCCGGUAAAACGGGACGGCCCGCCAGAGGACCCCUAAACUCUGUUUCUAUAUGUAACUUCUGAGUAAAACCAUAAAUAAAUCAAAACUUUCAACAACGGAUCUCUUGGUUCUGGCAUCGAUGAAGAACGCAGCAAAAUGCGAUAAGUAAUGUGAAUUGCAGAAUUCAGUGAAUCAUCGAAUCUUUGAACGCACAUUGCGCCCGCCAGUAUUCUGGCGGGCAUGCCUGUUCGAGCGUCAUUUCAACCCUCAAGCACAGCUUGGUGUUGGGACUCGCGUUAAUUCGCGUUCCUCAAAUUGAUUGGCGGUCACGUCGAGCUUCCAUAGCGUAGUAGUAAAACCCUCGUUACUGGUAAUCGUCGCGGCCACGCCGUUAAACCCCAACUUCUGAAUGUUGACCUCGGAUCAGGUAGGAAUACCCGCUGAACUUAAGCAUAUCAAUAAGCG